AAGCUGGAUUCGCUAGUAAUCGCGCAUCAGCCAUGGCGCGGUGAAUACGUUCCCGGGCCUUGUACACACCGCCCGUCAAGCCAUGGGAGCCGGGGGGUGCUUGAAGUGCGUCGCCGCGAGGCGCGCCCUAGAGCAAAGCCGGUGACUGGGGCUAAGUCGUAACAAGGUAGC
rnacentral:rRNA from 1 species